GGAAUAUUGCACAAUGGGGGAAACCCUGAUGCAGCAACGCCGCGUGAAGGACGACGGUCUUCGGAUUGUAAACUUCUUUUCUUUGUGAAGAAUUCUGACGGUAGCAAAGGAAUAAGCAUCGGCUAACUACGUGCCAGCAGCCGCGGUAAUACGUAGGAUGCAAGCGUUAUCCGGAUUUACUGGGUGUAAAGGGAGCGCAGGCGGGACAUCAAGUUGGAUGUGAAAUGUCACGGCUUAACCAUGGCACUGCAUCCAAAACUGUAGUUCUUGAGUGGAGUAGAGGUAAGCGGAAUUCCGAGUGUAGCGGUGAAAUGCGUAGAUAUUCGGAGGAACACCAGUGGCGAAGGCGGCUUACUGGGCUCUAACUGACGCUGAGGCUCGAAAGUGUGGGGAGCAAACA
rnacentral:rRNA from 1 species